UAAUGAGGGGAGGAAAAGAAACUAACAAGGAUUUUCUUAGUAGCGGCGAGCGAAAAGAAAAUAGUUCAGCACUAAGUCACUUUGCCAUUUAUGGGAAAUGUGAGAUGCAGUGUAUGGAAUAUCAAAUUUCUAGUAUGAGAAAUUAACGAUUUAAGUCCUUCUUAAAUGAGGCCAUUUACCCAUAGAGGGUGCCAGGCCCGUAUAACGUUAAUGAUUACUAGAUGGUAUUUCCAAAGAGUCGUGUUGCUUGAUAGUGCAGCACUAAGUGGGUGGUAAACUCCAUCUAAAACUAAAUAUAACCAUGAGACCGAUAGUAAACAAGUACCGUGAGGGAAAGUUGAAAAGAACCCUGAAUAGAGAGUUAAAUAGUACGUGAAACUGCUUAGAGGUUAAGCCCGAUGAACCUGAAUAUCCAUUAUGGGAAAUUCAUCAUUAUGAUUAUAAUAUUUAUUAUUAAAUAAUGUAAUAAUGGUGUGCAUUUUUCCUAUAAAAGGACAUUGUAAUCUAUUAAUAAAUAAUAAAUAUUUAUCAUAAGAUCAUUGUACACAAGUUUAUCCAAGUUAUUUUGCUUGCAAUUUAACGUAGGAUAAGAUGUAUGUGAUUUGAUAAAGUAUUGAUAGAUUUAUUAAUAUAUAUAAUGCUUAAAAUAUGCAUAUAUGUACGCAUUAUGUUAUAUUUUAUAAUAAUCAUAUUAAUUAAAUUAAAGUUAAUUUUUAUGUUUGUUGUAUGCAUUUAUAUGAUUGACAAUGCGAAAGAUUCAGGAUACCUUCGGGACCCGUCUUGAAA
rnacentral:rRNA from 1 species